rnacentral:rRNA from 1 species
UACGAAGGGGGCUAGCGUUGUUCGGAAUUACUGGGCGUAAAGGGCGCGUAGGCGGUGUGUCAAGUCAGGCGUGAAAGCCCCGGGCUCAACCUGGGAACAGCGCUUGAGACUGGCACGCUCGAGUUCGGGAGAGGAUGGUGGAAUUCCCAGUGUAGAGGUGAAAAUUCGUAGAUAUUGGGAAGAACACCGAUGGCGAAGGCAGCCAUCUGGACCGGUACUGACGCUGAGGUGCGAAAGCGUGGGGAGCAAACAGGG